AAGGAGCUGUGGACUGCAUGGAAGAGAGAAUGCCGGAAUGAGUAGCGAGAUAGAGGUGGGAAUCCUCUAGGCCGAAUAUCCAAGGUUUCCAGGGUAAAGCUGAUCUGCCCUGGGUAAGUCGGGGCCUAAGGUGAGGACGAGAGUCGUAGCCGAUGGACAACAGGUGGAGAUUCCUGUACUAUGAUAUGACAGAACUGUGGGGACACGUGCAGAGAGCGGAAGCCGGGAAUGGUAUCCCGGUGCAAGCGAGGUACCAGAUGCGUUGGAAAAACCGCGCAUCAAUGGGAAGACGUGAUGCGGAGUGAAGUUUAGUAAUGAAGUCCGUGAGCUGUGCGUCAAGAAAAGCCGCUAUUGUUCAUACCAUACCCGUACCGUAAACCGACACAGGUGGAUGAGGAGAGAAUCCUAAGGCCGGCGGAAGAAGCAUUGUCAAGGAACUCGGCAAAAUGACCCCGUAACUUCGGGAGAAGGGGUGCCACUGAGAAGUGGCCGCAGAGAAUAGGCUCAAGCAACUGUUUAGCAAAAACACAGGUCUAUGCGAAACCGUAAGGUGAGGUAUAUGGGCUGACGCCUGCCCGGUGCUGGAAGGUUAAGAGGAGAGGUUAGCGGAAACGCGAAGCUUUGAAUUUAAGCCCCAGUAAACGGCGGCCGUAACAAUAACGGUCCUAAGGUAGCGAAAUUCCUUGUCGGGUAAGUUCCGACCCGCACGAAAGGCGUAAUGAUUUGAGCGCUGUCUCGACAAUGCAUCCGGUGAAAUUGAAGUACCAGUGAAGAUGCUGGUUACCUGCGCCAGGACGGAAAGACCCCAUGGAGCUUUACUCCAGUUUGGUACUGGGAUCCGGUACUGCAUGUACAGGAUAGGUGGGAGGCUAUGAAAUGGUAACGCCAGUUGCCAUGGAGCCGCUGUUGGGAUACCACCCUUGCAGUAUUGGGUUCCUAACCAGCCGCCGUGACCCGGCGGUGGGACAAUGCCAGACGGGGAGUUUGACUGGGGCGGUCGCCUCCGAAAGGGUAACGGAGGCGCCCAAAGGUUCCCUCAGGAUGGACGGAAACCAUCCAAAGAGUGCAAAGGCAGAAGGGAGCUUGACUGCGACACCGACGGGUGGAGCAGGUACGAAAGUAGGGCUUAGUGAUCCGGUGGUAUUAAGUGGGAAUGCCAUCGCUCAACGGAUAGAAGCUACCCUGGGAUAACAGGCUUAUCACUCCCAAGAGUUCACAUCGACGGAGUGGUUUGGCACCUCGAUGUCGGCUCAUCGCAUCCUGGGGCUGUAGUAGGUCCCAAGGGUUGGGCUGUUCGCCCAUUAAAGCGGUACGCGAGCUGGGUUCAGAACGUCGUGAGACAGUUCGGUCCCUAUCCGGCGUGGGCGUAGGAUAUCUGAGAGGAGCUGUCCUUAGUACGAGAGGACCGGGAUGGACGGGCCGCUGGUGCACCGGUUAGACUGCCAAGUCUAUAGCCGGGUAGCCAAGCCCGGAAGGGAUAAACGCUGAAGGCAUCUAAGCGUGAAGCCCCCCUCAAGAUGAGAUAUCCCAUCCGAAAGGAGUAAACCCCCUUGAAGACGACGAGGUUGAUAGGGCAGGGGUGGAAGUGUGGUAACACAUGGAGCUGACUGCUACUAAUAGGGUGAGGGCUUGAC
rnacentral:rRNA from 1 species